GGAUGUGUUUUCUCUUUGAAUCUUUAAUUUUAAUUUGUGGGGUUUAAGGGUUUUUAAUGUGAUUUGAUUCUUUAUAACUUUUCCGAGGUUGCUUUUCUCAUUUUGGAUUUUUUGAGGUUUUGGUACACUUGUUGCUCUCUCUCUCUCUCUCUCUCUCUUCUUUUAUCUUAAUAUGGAAAAAAAUUCUAUCCUUUUUGGUCUAUUUGGUAUAUCAAUACAUUUUUUCUGUGUUAGUUGGGUGUUUUGUGUGGACUUGCUGAAUUGUUUAGUGCUUAAUUUGUUGUGGUGCUGCAAUAAGGAAUAGUUUUUAGUUCUGUUUAUAAAUUUUCUUGUUCUUUAUGCAAAUACUAUAUCAUAAUGUUGUGAUGUGAAUAAGCCUUUGUUAAAUGAAUCUUGUUUGUUUUCCUUGUCCAAAAUAGAGAAUCUUUUAUUGUUUUGUGGUGUAUUCUUUGUGUUCUGUUUAACUGGCUGAGAUAGGGUGGUUCUACUAGUAUCCCUGUUUGUCUACCUAUACGGAGUUAGAUUUCGCAUAUGCUCACUCGUCUAACAGUAAUUAUCUCAGAAAGUUACUUUCGUCGUUGUAAAAAAUUGGAAUCAAGAAGAAGAGACUUUUUUACAUAAGAAUGAUUAAUUGAGUGACCAUCUGAGCAAUCAAAGCUCCCUAUUUGUGGGAGGUUCAAAUUUGCCGAUGUACUAUUUGGAAUGACUUAAUUUUGCCAAAAGUGCAUUUAUAUCGUUGCCUUUAGCAAAUUGUCUCAUACUUGUCAUUUGGCAUUAAUGGAGCUCGAACGUGUUUAGGGGUGGACUCCACGUGUUCAAUUUAUCCGAGGAAGAGAGGUCCAAUUUAUUUUUUUCAGGUUCUGUCUAUCAUUGAGAAGUUCCAUUAGGGAUCAAGGGCGAAGAGCGAGACAUUUUCCAAAUAACGGGGCAAAAUUAGACCAAAGUAUAACGGAUGGCAAAUACUAUAUCUUGAUGCUGUGAUAUGAAAAAGCCUAUGUUAAGUGAAUCUUUUUUGUUUUCCUUAUUGAAAAGAGAAUCUUUUAGUUUUGUGGUGUUAGUUUUUGUAUUUUGUUCGACUGGCUGAGAUGGAGUGAGUAUCCCUGUUUGUCUCCCUAAUUGGAGUUGAUUUCUUGUAUCGUCACUCAACUAAUAUAAUAGUAAUUAUCUCAAAAAGUUAAAUUCUUUGUUGUGAAAAUUUGAAAUUAAGAAGAAAGAUGACUUGAUAAUAACUAUCAAUUGAGGGAUCAUGUCAACCCCAUUAUUUCUGUGAGGUUCAAAUAUUCCCCUGUACUAUUUCCAAUGACUCAAUUUCCCAAAAGUACAUUUAUGUCCUUGACGUUGGCAAAUCAUCUCAUAUUUGUCAUUUGGCAUUUAUGGAGCUCGGGUGUGAUUAGGGGUGGACUCCACGUGUUCCAAUUUUCUUGCCAAUUUUUCACUCUAUGAUUGAGGAAUUCCAUCAAGGUUGAAGAGCGACGAGACUCUUUCCUAACGAUGGGGCAAUAUUAGACCAAAGUAUGACGGAUAGAGAAAGUGAGAUGUUUUGAAUAGGACUGGGAAAAAUUCGACCCUUACCCUUUUCUUAAUGUGAUUUUUCAAAUGCAACUCCUAGCGUACAACAACAACAUACCCAGUAUAGUCCCAUGAGUGAGAUCUACGGAGGGUAGUCCCAUGAGUGAGAUCUACGGAGGGUAGAGUGUACGGAGACCUUGCCCCUUUCUUGGCAGGUAGAGAGGCUGUUUCCAAUAGACCCUUGGCUCAAAGAAAGCAAUAAAGAUUACAAUUUCAAAGUAAUUCCUAGUGUAUUCAGAUAAAAUUUUAUUCUUGAUGUUCAUUUUAUGUGCUUUACACCUAGAGUUUGUCCUUCAUCCCUACUUGAUGUAUGUCUUUGACUUCUUGUUUCGGUAUUAACCACAAGGAGAUUCACUUCAUUAAUGUUGUUCCUUCUUUUUGCAAGUAUUUUGAUAAUCCGGUGAGUUUGAUUCUGUUAUGUUCCUAACUAAUGCAUCUAGACUCUCGAGAUUGGCUCCAUUUGACGUAGUAUUCCCCAC
rnacentral:lncRNA from 1 species